rnacentral:rRNA from 1 species
GGUUAGACGAAGAGCUUUGAUAGAAUUACUGUUUGUUUAGUUAAUGGUAAAUUUUGGUAGUUAAAUUAUUUUUUUUGUUGGGUGAAAUCAAAGUAAAAGAAUGUUAUUUUUUAAGAAAUUUAGAGGGGCUAAGAAAUUUAGAUUAAAAACCAGGAUUAGAUACCCUGUUAUUCUAGAUAAUUUUAAGCUGGGUAGUAAAAGUUGUUCUUCAAACCCAAAGAUUUUGGCGGCACUUUAUCCAAAUAGAGGAGUUUGCCCCGUAAUCGAUAACCCUCGUUUUAUCUUUCCUUUGCUUGUUUAGCUUGUAUACCGCCGUUGCCAGAUUACUUUUUUAGAAUGUUUUCAGGAAAGAUAUCUUUUUAACUUCAGGUCAAGGUGCAGUUUAUGCAAAGGCGGAGGUGAACUACAAUUUUUAUUAGAAAAAAUGGAAACCUAGUUUAAAAAUUGGUGGAAGGUGGAUUUAUUAGUAAGGUAGUUUAAGUAAAAUUAGCUGAAUCUGGUAAUGAAGUGUGUACAUAUCGCCCGUCACUCUCUUCUUAAGAG